CCUGUCAGUAUAAGCAGUGUUGAAAGUAUAGCAUCACAAUAUUUACAAAAUAAUCUCGCCUAUCAUCAUUUAGCCAACCCCAUGAUACACAUUUCUUCAAAGAAUGAACAAAUAAAUACAAAUUAAAAAUCUGUCAUACAGGGUGAAUUACAAUCUGUCGUUAAUUAUUGACACAGUUAAGGUCGCUGUUGAGUUUUAAGCGAUGUCAAAGCAAUCAGAGUGUCACUCUUUCAAUCACUGUUUAUAUUCUACCACAAUUCAAUAAAAAGCUGAACCUCACAGCUCUCGCGGCCAGUCUCGCCAGGGCAGUUUGAUAGACGACCAAGCGCUGCCCGUCUUGCUUCAUUAUUCGAGUGCAGAGCAGAGAGAGGCUGUGACUGAGUGCAUCGUGUGGGAGGGCACCACAGAGCAACAUGACAACAGGAGCUGUGCACACAUGGUGGGAUCCCAGAAAGGUAAGAACUCUCCUUUUGGGGCACCCUCUGCACUGUCACUGCCCCUCCCCACUGUGACUGGCCCCCACACUGUCAUUGGCCUCUCACCAACUGUCACUGACUCUCUGACACACUGCCACUGGCACACUUUUACUGUCCUCCUCCCCACUGUCAACCUCUCACACUGCACUGCCCCCCUCACCACUAUCACCUACCCACACUCUCACUACUCCCCUCGCCACUGUCUCCCUCCCACACUGUCACUGGCCUCCUCCCCACUGUCACCCUCCCACAGUGUCACUGCCCUCCUCCCCACUGUCACUGCCUCCUUCCCACUGUCACCUUCCCAUAAUGUUAUUGUCUCC